AGUUUUUUACUUCUAAUUUCAUAGUUAAUCAGUAUUUCUUAAAAUUAAAAUAUAAUGCUUUUUCCAGGUGUCGAACUCCACGGCUCCGGGCUAUGAGGUGACAAGACUGCUCAGACAACUAUGCAGUGGAGAUGGUGUUCCUGGAAGAAAUGAAAGAGUUACCGGCCCCAAGAACGCUCAGCUGCUCUGCAUCAAUGGAGGAAGUCCUCGGCAACCGAGCACUCCACAACUUUUACGGAUUCUAGAAGAAACAAUACAGAAGAAAGUACCAAAGCAGCUGUUCCAGAAUCAGUCUGAACUGAAUAAGGAUAAGUACCGACUGACGUUCAACAUACCAGAGACGACAAAACAGAACCUGUUCCAAUACAGGACGAAGUUUGUACAGCAUAUGCUGACAAGCCCAAUGUACGCGAACAGCGCUGUCGGGAAACCGUGGGAGAUAAUUGGCAGCAUUUCAGAGAGAAUAAUCGACGAACUUCUACUGUCUGUGGCGAAAGAGAUGGAGAUAGGUAGAGUGACACAAGAGUUGUAUAGGGCGGAGACACGAUGAGUUUUAGAAAUGAUUUUCAUUGCGUAUAUUUUUCUAGUUGUUUGUUGUU